rnacentral:rRNA from 1 species
GACGAACGCUGGCGGCGUGCGUAACACAUGCAAGUCGAACGGAGAUAGAAGCUUGCUUCUAUCUUAGUGGCAAACGGGUGAGUAACGCGUGGGUAACSUACCCUAAAGUGGGGGAUAACAGGUCGAAAGGUCUGCUAAUACCGCAUACCCUUCAAGUACGAAAGUAUUUGAAGGAAAGGAGUAAUCCGCUUAAGGAGGGGCSUGCGUCCUAUCAGGUAGUUGGUGAGGUAACGGCUCACCAAGCCUAUGACGGGUAGCUGGUCUGAGAGGAUGAUCAGUCACACUGGAACUGAGACACGGUCCAGACUCCUACGGGAGGCAGCAGUGGGGAAUAUUCCGCAAUGGGCGAAAGCCUGACGGAGCGACGCCGCGUGGAUGAUGAAGACCCUAUGGGUCGUAAAAUCCUUUUGUGAGGGAAGAAGAUCUGACGGUACCUCACGAAUAAGCCACGGCUAACUACGUGCCAGCAGCCGCGGUAAAACGUAGGUGGCAAGCGUUGUCCGGAAUUACCUGGGCGUAAAGAGUGCGU